CCUGGCCCCAGGAGGACGACCUUGGCUUGCCUGCUCUUGUCACUAUCUGCACCCCCCCCCCACUUCCAGCCUCCAAGUAGAGCUCCUGAACGUCAAGCAUCGAUGUCAUAGAGGGUGUUAGAGGCACACGUGUAGGCUAUGCCUUGGACGUACUGAGUGGAACACUCGAGCAGAGCCCAGCAUCUGUGUUUCAGUCAGCCUUUUGGGAAACACUGGCCUGUCUGGCACUCCAUGAUCCCCUUUGGUGGUCUUGGCAAAUCACAGCAUUGGAAAACACUCUAGUCACUACACCGAGAGCUUUCAAAUGUACACUUAACAGAAUGCCAACUGCAGCGACAGAAGGGAAAACUUGGGUAGCAAGAGAGUACGUUCCAUAUUCUUCUCUUCAGUUAUAAUGAGGGGUUUGCAGGUAUCAGAUCCUGCCCGGCACGGGCCUGACAUCCUCAAGAGAUGGUUCUGUGAAGAAUGUCAUUGGAAUUUUGAAGAGAAUUGCAUCAAAUCUGUAGGUUAUUUUGCUUGCAAAAUAAUAACAAUUCACAAGGUGACUCCACUGACUUUGUCCUGACCCUGACUGUGAGUGAACAGCGGUGUGGCUGAUGAGCAAAUCUGAGGGAAAUCAAAAGCUGAGGGAAGACAACUGUAAGCUUGGAUGUGUUCGGGGCACCUGGAGAAGCGGCCCAUGUGAGGCCAAGUCCAACAUUAGUGAUCCAGGAUGAAGAAGGGAAAGAAUUCAGCCAUCCGCAAUGACACCGAGGUCUCAGAGAAUUGAGAAUGCUCAGAGACCUGUCAAGAGCACAUGAGUGACAGGGAAGGCAACUCCUGGGAUGGAAGCCAGCUGCUCCUCUUGGUUCAGUGCCAUUGGCCAGGCUGGCACACAGGAACACAUGCUCACAUCUCCCUGUGCUGGAGCAGCUGUCAAGUACUUAGCCUUUGACAUGACCUUUGGGGAUCCUCAUUGACUUGCUUCAGGCAGUGGUUUUCCAUGAAUUCAUGUGAUGCCGAUUUCCACACAAGAGUCCUUAUUUUUUCCAUGUAAAACGAACACAUUAUACCCUAAACAUUUACACAGUAAGAGAUGAAUUGUUCAUUUAGAUGGUUCCAGUUUCAUUGCUGAUUUUUCUGUAAGUUUACCUGUAUUUUCGAUGUUUCUAACUGGUAUGUUGAAGCC
rnacentral:lncRNA from 1 species